ACGCUCGACACCUACGGAGGCAGCAGUGAGGAAUAUUGGUCAAUGGACGCAAGUCUGAACCAGCCAUGCCGCGUGCAGGAUGACGGCUCUAUGAGUUGUAAACUGCUUUUGUACGAGGGUAAACGCAGAUACGUGUAUCUGUCUGAAAGUAUCGUACGAAUAAGGAUCGGCUAACUCCGUGCCAGCAGCCACGGUAAUCUGAGCGGGCUGGCAAGGC
rnacentral:rRNA from 1 species